AAUAGCUAAUCAUCAACAUAGAAGGCUCUUUGGUACAUCGGCAUUAACACUCUUGAAAGUGAUAAAGAAUGCAUGAGCACAAAGGAAUCGUAGUCCAAAAGUGCGGAUUGGCUGUGAUGUAAAGCUAUACGUGGUGAAUCAGGUGUGCAAAACCGUGUAUCACAUACCAGCAAAGCAUCACUGAUUAUGUCUAGUGCAUAUAAUCAAUGGACAAUGAAAACACUUUUCAUCACAGUCCUACAGAAGUACUCAGUAUUUCUUGCUCUGUUUUAGCUAAGGUUCCUCUGGAGCUAACAGGUAUACUUACCAAAGGGGUGGGCACAUAGCUAAUUACAUGAUAGCUAGGCGAUGGGGUGCACAAAUUUUUUUCCCUUUCAAAGAUGUUGUGGUGUUACAGCCGAGGUAGCUAUCAGCCUAACGACGCUCUGUUUUAUUGGUUUGAGCAUCAUAUCUCAAACUCUUUUAGUAGCUGAAAGAAAAGACAAUGUAAUUAACAAAACUGCCAUGGAGUAUGAUGCAUUAUCUAUUUAUUAAAUUUAAUGGAGGAUUUA